rnacentral:rRNA from 1 species
CCUACGGGAGGCAGCAGUAGGGAAUCUUGCACAAUGGGGGAAACCCUGAUGCAGCAACGCCGCGUGGGGGAUGAAGGUUUUCGGAUUGUAAACUCCUUUUGUUAGAGAAGAUUAUUACGGUAUGUAACUAAUCAGCACUGGCGAACUCCGUCCCAGCAGGCGCGGUCAUACGGCGGGCGCAAGCGUUACCCGGAAUUACUGGGCGUAAAGGGUGCGUAGGCGGGGUAAUAAGUCUGAUGUGAAAUCCUGUGGCUUAACUGGAGAACUGCAUUUGAAACUGUUACACUGGAGUGCAGGAGAGGAAGGUGGAACUCUAGGUGUAGCGGUAGAAUCCGUAGAUAUAAAGAAGAAUACCCGUUGCGAAGGCGACCUGCUGGA